rnacentral:rRNA from 1 species
AACGCUAGCUACAGGCUUAACACAUGCAAGUCGAGGGGAAACGAUAUUGGAAGCUUGCUUCCGAUAGGCGUCGACCGGCGCACGGGUGAGUAACGCGUAUCCAACCUGCCCACCACUUGGGGAUAACCUUGCGAAAGUAAGACUAAUACCCAAUGACGUCUCUAGAAGACAUCUGAAAGAGAUUAAAGAUUUAUCGGUGAUGGAUGGGGAUGCGUCUGAUUAGCUUGUUGGCGGGGUAACGGCCCACCAAGGCGACGAUCAGUAGGGGUUCUGAGAGGAAGGUCCCCCACAUUGGAACUGAGACACGGUCCAAACUCCUACGGGAGGCAGCAGUGAGGAAUAUUGGUCAAUGGGCGAGAGCCUGAACCAGCCAAGUAGCGUGCAGGAUGACGGCCCUAUGGGUUGUAAACUGCUUUUAUAAGGGAAUAAAGUUAGUCUCGUGAGACUUUUUGCAUGUACCUUAUGAAUAAGGACCGGCUAAUUCCGUGCCAGCAGCCGCGGUAAUACGGAAGGUCCGGGCGUUAUCCGGAUUUAUUGGGUUUAAAGGGAGCGUAGGCCGGAGAUUAAGCGUGUUGUGAAAUGUAGGCGCUCAACGUCUGCACUGCAGCGCGAACUGGUUUCCUUGAGUACGCACAAAGUGGGCGGAAUUCGUGGUGUAGCGGUGAAAUGCUUAGAUAUCACGAAGAACUCCGAUUG